rnacentral:lncRNA from 1 species
GCAUUUAUUCCAGGAGCCAGGCUUUUGUCUCAGGUCCUCUGCUGAGGAACUCUAAGUUGGUUUGUAUGUGCUUGGCUCUGGGCUCCAUUGUGGCCUAGUAGAGCGUGGGAGAGCCUGGCUGCCAGGAGCCAUGGCACAGGUCCUUUGAGGUUCGGGUUCACAUUUCAGCCUUGCUGGCUCGGGCACCUGGCAGCCGCCCAUGGUAAGUGAGGGACUGCUGUCUCCAGACAGGAAGAAGUGGCUAGCCAUGGAUGCAGUGACCUAUAAUGAUAUGCAUGUUAACUUCACUUGGGAAGAGUGCGCUUUGCUGGAUUCUUCCCAGAAGAAUCUCUACAAAGAUGUGAUGCUAGAGACCUAAAAGCAUGUACCUCACUACUAUAGGCAUGAAAGAAAUCAUCCUGGAGAGAAACCUUCUGAAUAUACACAAUGUAUUAAAGGCUUUGCAGAUCACUUUCAUCUUCAAUAGCAUAAAAGAAUUCGUACUGGAGAGAAACCUUCUGACAGUAUUCAAUAUGAUGAAGCCUUUGCAUGUCACAAGAAUCCCCAAACUCAUCAAAGAACACAUACUAGAGAGAAACCCUAUGUGGUAAUCAAUGUGGUAAAACCUUUGUAUGUCAAAGUAGUCUCCAUAUACAUAAAAGUAUUUUCAUGUAUCAGUAAUCUUUGAAAACAUAAGAAAAUACUGCAGAGAAACCCUCUAAAUGUAUAAAGAUGAUCAAAGUUUUGCAAAUCAUGGUAGUCUUUAUACAAGAGUAAAACUUUUAGUGUGUAAUUAGUACAUUAAAGCCAUUGUAUGUAAUAGACUUUGAAGAUCCAAUAAAACUCAUACCAAAGAGUAUCUGAAUAUAAAUCAUUUGAUAAGAUCUUUAGCUAAUACACAUUCAGUUACACAGGACUAUUCUGUAGAAAAAAUGACAA